rnacentral:tRNA from 3 species
AAAACUUUAAGUUAAAAUAAACUAAGAGCCUUCAAAGCCCUAAAUGAAUUAAUUUCAAGUUUUG